GUGGAGAGGAAUGUGUGCCGGUGCCUGGUUUUAUUAGUGCUCACAUCAGCCUGACCUCAGGGUGUAAAGGGCUGUUGCUUCACCGUUACUUCUCCAGCUCAGGUUACACAUCACCCAUCAACCCUGGAAGAAAGCAAAACAGAGAUGACCGCUGCCUGAAACCGUCCUUCUCUCUCACACGUGGAUGCAUAAAAUGUGACCUGCACGCUGUCGCUGUGUGCAAAAAGGGCAGCAAGCUGAGGAAGCCAGGAAACAGAAGCUCACAUUGGAACAAAUGGAUCAAUGGGUGUCCUUCCGAGCUCCUCCCCAAGACCUUUAUCUCCCUUUCAGCUUUUAUUCUCCUGUUUCUCCCGCUUUCUCGUGCUCUUUUCUUCCUCUUUUGCUGUCUUUUCGCUAUCCUUCCAUCAC
ensembl:lncRNA